CCUACGGGUGGCAGCAGUAGGGAAUAUUGCACAAUGGGGGAAACCCUGAUGCAGCGACGCCGCGUGAGUGAAGAAGUAUUUCGGUACGUAAAGCUCUAUCAGCAGGGAAGAAAAACCGGCCUUAGGGACGCCAGACGGUACCUGACUAAGAAGCCCCGACUAACUACGUGCCAGCAGCCGCGGUAAUACGUAGGGGGCAAGCGUUAUCCGGAUUUACUGGGUGUAAAGGGAGCGUAGACGGCAGCGCACAUCUGGAGUGAAAUGCCGGGGCCCAAACCCUGAACUGCUUUGGAAACUGUGCAGCUGGAGUGCAGGAGAGGUAAGCGGAAUUCCUAGUGUAGCGGUGAAAUGCGUAGAUAUUAGGAGGAACACCAGUGGCGAAGGCGGCUUACUGGACUGUAACUGACGUUGAGGCUCGAAAGCGUGGGGAGCAAACAGGAUUAGAUACCCGGGUAGUC
rnacentral:rRNA from 1 species